CACGUAGGGCGCAAGCGUUGUUCGGAAUUACUGGGCGUAAAGGGCUCGUAGGCGGCCAACUAAGUCAGACGUGAAAUCCCCAGGCUCAACCUGGGAACUGCGUCUGAUACUGGAUGGCUUGAAUCCGGGAGAGGGAUGCAGAAUUCCAGGUGUAGCGGUGAAAUGCGUAGAUAUCUGGAGGAAUACCGGUGGCGAAGGCGGCAUCCUGGACCGGCAUUGACGCUGAGGAGCGAAAGCCAGGGGAGCAAACAGG
rnacentral:rRNA from 1 species